AUGUAUCUUUUUCAAGAGAGACCCACACUGAGAUCUUUUUAACUCUGAGCCCAGGGAAGGAGCGCAGAGAGAGUGCCCCAUACACUUUAAACUUUGUUGGAUUUUGUGUGCGUGUGUCUUUCCAUGAUCGGCAGUCAUGUUUUCAAAUAUGCCAGUCUCCAAGAAGGUGCCUCAAUAUCUUCAAGGUCUGGCUAUACGCGACAGUCAACAUUUACCCAAGUGACAUCUGAUGGGACAACGGAGCACGCGCCAAGAACUUGGAGCUUCAAGCCAUGUGCUGUCCUGCCUCCUGCCACCUCCCUGCCUCCCCGGGACAGGUUCUCAGCUCCCCCUUACCCCCUGGCACCGUGGCCCAGGCCUCCCCCUCCACUGACGCCCUCCACCCUGGGUACAGGCACAGGGAGGGCGGGGGUCAGGUAUGAGGGGUGUGCCAGCGGCCAUCACUGCCCAGGAUUGGCAGCAUGCACUUGGGCACCCAUGGCAGGGGUGGCAGGGUGCCUGGGAGGGUCUGCAGUAUCCCCAAGCCCAAUAGCACUCCCUGAAGCAGCUUUGUGUGGUCAAGGAUCUUCUUCCUCCUCCUGUAGCCCUCCCGGGACUGCCUUGUGUUUGUCUUUUCUGGCCAGCUCAAGGCACCCUCGGGGACAAGCCACGAAAUAAAAAAUUGUAUACUUUUGGCGAUUCUGCACAGGAACGAAACGCUCUGGUUUUGCAUUUAAAACCGCUAUUGCACAAUAUGGAGAUGAAUGGUAAAAUUCAUGCUAGUCAUUUAAAAUUUUUAUUUUUCUUUACUUAGAAUGACAUUAAGCAGCAAACAGAAGACACCGUGACAAGUUGGGAGAGAGCCUGGAGAAGUAAAAGCGUUCUAUGUACUUUCAAUGGCACUUUUUCCCGCUUUUCCGGCAAAGGGCCCCGCAUGUGGCUGGGCCCCACAAGGACACAGCUGGCCCUGCCACUAGCGUCCCCAGGACAACACGGUCCCAGAAGCCCGGCACAAGGGGCAUCUACCCAAUAGCUCCAACAGGAAGUACCACGGAUCGCACUCACCUGCACAGCCUGGGUCACAUGCUCAUUUCUGAACCAAUCACAGCAGAUGAGGAGGCAGGAGCCCUCUGAUUGGUCAGGUCUGGGCAUGUGUCCAUCCCUAAGACUAGGGGAUUGGUCAGCCCACCUCAGUGCCUCCCAAGGGGUGCUCCAUGGGGAAGAGGGAUUCCAUUCCCAGAGGAAUGGGGGGGGAUUGUCCAGCCACCAACCCCUCCUCCCCUCAACGCUGUUCUUCCCCUACACACUCCUUAUGCUUAGUUUAAAAGAGAGAACAGGGGCAGCUGGCUGGCUCAGUGGGCAGAGUGUGUGACUUGAUCUCGGGACUGUGAGUUCGAACCCCACUUUGGGUGGAGAGAUUACUUAAAAAACGGAAUUUUGACGGUGCCUGGGUGGCUCAGUCGGUUGAGCGUCCGACUUCGGCUUAGGUCACGAUCUCAGGGUUUGUGAGUUCAAGCCCCGCAUCAGGCUCUGUGCUGACAGCUCAGAGCCUGGAGCCUGCUUCAGAUUCUGUGUCUCCCUCUCUCUCUCUGCUCAUCCCCUGCUUGCACUCUGUCUGUCUGUCUGUCUCUCUCUCUC